rnacentral:rRNA from 1 species
UACCAGACUCCUACGGGAGGCAGCAGUGAGGAAUAUUGGUCAAUGGCCGUAAGGCUGAACCAGCCAAGUAGCGUGAGGGAAGACUGCCCUAUGGGUUGUAAACCUCUUUUAUGCGGGGAUAAAGGUGUCCACGUGUGGAUGUUUGCAUGUACUUUAUGAAUAAGGAUCGGCUAACUCCGUGCCAGCAGCCGCGGUAAUACGGAGGAUCCGAGCGUUAUCCGGAUUUAUUGGGUUUAAAGGGAGCGUAGAUGGGUUGUUAAGUCAGUUGUGAAAGUUUGCGGCUCAACCGUAAAAUUGCAAUUGAUACUGGCAGUCUUGAGUACAGUUGAGGUAGGCGGAAUUCGUGGUGUAGCGGUGAAAUGCUUAGAUAUCACGAAGAACCCCGAUUGCGAAGGCAGCUUACUAAACUGUGACUGACAUUGAUGCUCGAAAGUGUGGGUAUCAAACAGGAUUAGAUACCCUUGUA